UAGCUCAGUUGGUAGAGCAGGGGCCUUUUAAGCCCAAGGUCGUGGGUUCGAAUCCCGCCCGGCGCACCA
rnacentral:tRNA from 1 species